rnacentral:rRNA from 1 species
ACAAUAUCGCGAGAUGGAGCAAAUCCCAUAAAAUGGCGUCCCAGUUCGGACUGCAGGCUGCAACUCGCCUGCACGAAGUUGGAAUUGCUAGUAAUCGCGGAUCAGCAUGCCGCGGUGAAUACGUUCCCGGGUCUUGUACACACCGCCCGUCACACCAUGGGAGUCGGAAAUGCCCGAAGUCGGUGACUUAACCGAAAGGAGAGAGCCGCGAAGGCAGGUCUGAUAACUGGGGUGAAGUCGUAACAAGGUAAC